AUGUCUGUCCAUGUGUCUCUGUGUGAAGAGAGGGCAGAGGACCACAUUCGUACAGGUGUUUGUGGAGACAGUAGUUGGAGGAAAACGGAGCAUCCAGUGAACGACAAAGGAGUGACCAUGGAAGAUCUGGUGAACAUGUUUGAGAAGAAAGCUCUGCCUGAGAAGUAUGACCUUCUCCCCAAACAGAGCACAGAGGUGGAGGAAAUGACCUCUGGGCUCCUGGCAUCCAGAUCCCAGGUGAGCUGGGCUUUCUUCUCUCUCUUUAAAAACCACAUCAUCUUUCACUGA
rnacentral:lncRNA from 1 species